rnacentral:rRNA from 2 species
AGAGUUUGAUCCUGGCUCAGAACGUACGCUGGCGGCACGCCUAACACAUGCAAGUCGAACGCAGUAGCAAUACUGAGUGGCGAACGGGUGAGUAUAAUGUGGGUAUCUGCCUUUUGGUUUGGAAUAACACGAGGAAACUUGUGCUAAUACCGGAUAAGCCCUUACGGGGAAAGUUUUAACGCCGAAAGAUGAGCCCGCACUUGAUUAGCUAGUUGGUAAGGUAAUGGCUUACCAAGGCUACGAUCAAUAGCUGAUCUGAGAGGAUGAUCAGCCACAUUGGGACUGAGACACGGCCCAAACUCCUACGGGAGGCAGCAGUGGGGAAUCUUGCACAAUGGGGGAAACCCUGAUGCAGCGAUGCCGCGUGAGUGAAGAAGGCCUUUGGGUUGUAAAGCUCUUUCGUCGGGGAAGAAAAUGACUGUACCCGAAUAAGAAGGUCCGGCUAACUUCGUGCCAGCAGCCGCGGUAAUACGAAGGGACCUAGCGUAGUUCGGAAUUACUGGGCUUAAAGAGUUCGUAGGUGGUUAAAAUAGUUGGUGGUGAAAUCCCAGAGCUUAACUCUGGAACUGCCAUCAAAACUUUUUAGCUAGAGUAUGAUAGAGGAAAGUAGAAUUUCUAGUGUAGAGGUGAAAUUCGUAGAUAUUAGAAAGAAUACCAAUUGCGAAGGCAGCUUUCUGGAUCAUUACUGACACUGAGGAACGAAAGCAUGGGUAGCGAAGAGGAUUAGAUACCCUCGUAGUCCAUGCCGUAAACGAUGUGUGCUAGACGUUGGAAAUUUUAUUUUCAGUGUCGCAGCAAAAGCGAUAAGCACACCGCCUGGGGAGUACGACCGCAAGGUUAAAACUCAAAUGAAUUGACGGGGACCCGCACAAGUAGUGGAGCAUGUGGUUUAAUUCGAAGAUACGCGCAGAACCUUACCAACACUUGACAUGUUCGUCGCGACUCUAAGAGAUUAGAGUUUUCGGUUCGGCCGGACGAAACACAGGUGCUGCAUGGCUGUCGUCAGCUCGUGUCGUGAGAUGUUGGGUUAAGUCCCGCAACGAGCGCAACCCUCACUUUUAGUUGCUACCAUUUAGUUGGGCACUCUGAAAGAACUGCCAGUGAUAAGCUGGAGGAAGGUGGGGAUGACGUCAAGUCCUCAUGGCCCUUACGUGUUGGGCUACACACGUGCUACAAUGGCAUCUACAACAGGAAGCAAGAAUGCGAAUUUAAGCAAAUCCUUAAAAGAUGUCUCAGUUCGGAUUGUACUCUGCAACUCGAGUACAUGAAGCUGGAAUUACUAGUAAUCGCGGAUCAGCGUGCCGCGGUGAAUACGUUCCCGGGUCUUGUACACACCGCCCGU